rnacentral:rRNA from 1 species
GUCUAUAGCCAUGUUGCCUUGAACAAGCCCGAUCCCGUCUGAUCUCAAAAGCUAAGCAGGGUUGGGCCUGGUUAGUACUUGGAUGGGAGACCACCUAGGAAGACCAGCUGCUGUGGGCA